CCUCGAAUCAGGUAGGAAUACCCGCUGAACUUAAG
rnacentral:rRNA from 1 species